GCCAUUUCGGGGCCGCGCGCCUUUGGGCGCGAGAUUACCUCAGGGCGUAGGGGCUGCGCGGCUCAGCGCGGGAAAGAGCUGGGCUCUUGAGGAAGGUCGAUUAAAGCCAUAAACCAGGAGUAAGAUUUAGUGAGAUCUUAAAGAAAUGCUCCUUGAAGACCAGCUAGAACAACUUUUCCAAACACUGCCAGACUGUUCAACAUUCCUGUGUACAGUGAGGAGACAGUCACAAUAGGCAUUUUAGACUGCAGAUUGAGAGACACGAGGACAGCUAGCCAAGAACAGCGUGAACAAGAAAGACUUUUUCCAGCAAUAAGCUCGCCUGCCUGUUUGUCUGGUAAAGGAGCGGUGCACCUAACCAACACAUGGUUUACUUAGGAAGGAAUACUACCUUUUUACUGUUGUAACAAACUUAAGUAAUACUACAUAGUUAUAGUCUCAAAUCUGAAAUUCAGUUCUGGGAAUGGAAGGUUUCCCUAAAACCUGCAAAGCCGGCAAAAAUUGCACAUGCAGAAACAAAAUACUGGAUUUUUGUUAAGAAGAAGCAAAUUAUUACAUGUGAAGUAGAGGUAUCUUGUUACAUUUCUACCAGAAAUAGACAUGAAAAAGUUCAUAAAUAGUUUAAUAAAUUAACCAACCUUUUUGAGA